CCUACGGGGGGCAGCAGUGGGGAAUAUUGGACAAUGGGGGGAACCCUGAUCCAGCCAUGCCGCGUGUGUGAAGAAGGCCCUCGGGUUGUAAAGCACUUUCAGUGAGGAAGAACGCCUGGUGGUUAAUACCCAUCAGGAAAGACAUCACUCACAGAAGAAGCACCGGCUAACUCCGUGCCAGCAGCCGCGGUAAUACGGAGGGUGCGAGCGUUAAUCGGAAUUACUGGGCGUAAAGCGCUCGUAGGUGGCUUGAUAAGCCGGUUGUGAAAGCCCCGGGCUCAACCUGGGAACGGCAUCCGGAACUGUCAAGCUAGAGUGCAGGAGAGGAAGGUAGAAUUCCCGGUGUAGCGGUGAAAUGCGUAGAGAUCGGGAGGAAUACCAGUGGCGAAGGCGGCCUUCUGGACUGACACUGACACUGAGGUGCGAAAGCGUGGGUAGCAAACAGGAUUAGAUACCCGAGUAGUC
rnacentral:rRNA from 1 species